rnacentral:rRNA from 1 species
AGAGUUUGAUCAUGGCUCAGAUUGAACGCUGGCGGCAGGCCUAACACAUGCAAGUCGAGCGGUAGCACAGAGAGCUUGCUCUCGGGUGACGAGCGGCGGACGGGUGAGUAAUGUCUGGGAAACUGCCUGAUGGAGGGGGAUAACUACUGGAAACGGUAGCUAAUACCGCAUAACGUCGCAAGACCAAAGUGGGGGACCUUCGGGCCUCAUGCCAUCAGAUGUGCCCAGAUGGGAUUAGCUAGUAGGUGGGGUAACGGCUCACCUAGGCGACGAUCCCUAGCUGGUCUGAGAGGAUGACCAGCCACACUGGAACUGAGACACGGUCCAGACUCCUACGGGAGGCAGCAGUGGGGAAUAUUGCACAAUGGGCGCAAGCCUGAUGCAGCCAUGCCGCGUGUGUGAAGAAGGCCUUCGGGUUGUAAAGCACUUUCAGCGGGGAGGAAGGCGGUGAGGUUAAUAACCUCAUCGAUUGACGUUACCCGCAGAAGAAGCACCGGCUAACUCCGUGCCAGCAGCCGCGGUAAUACGGAGGGUGCAAGCGUUAAUCGGAAUUACUGGGCGUAAAGCGCACGCAGGCGGUCUGUCAAGUCGGAUGUGAAAUCCCCGGGCUCAACCUGGGAACUGCAUUCGAAACUGGCAGGCUAGAGUCUUGUAGAGGGGGGGAGAAUUCCAGGUGUAGCGGUGAAAUGCGUAGAGAUCUGGAGGAAUACCGGUGGCGAAGGCGGCCCCCUGGACAAAGACUGACGCUCAGGUGCGAAAGCGUGGGGAGCAAACAGGAUUAGAUACCCUGGUAGUCCACGCCGUAAACGAUGUCGAUUUGGAGGUUGUGCCCUUGAGGCGUGGCUUCCGGAGCUAACGCGUUAAAUCGACCGCCUGGGGAGUACGGCCGCAAGGUUAAAACUCAAAUGAAUUGACGGGGGCCCGCACAAGCGGUGGAGCAUGUGGUUUAAUUCGAUGCAACGCGAAGAACCUUACCUGGUCUUGACAUCCACAGAACUUAGCAGAGAUGCUUUGGUGCCUUCGGGAACUGUGAGACAGGUGCUGCAUGGCUGUCGUCAGCUCGUGUUGUGAAAUGUUGGGUUAAGUCCCGCAACGAGCGCAACCCUUAUCCUUUGUUGCCAGCGGUCCGGCCGGGAACUCAAAGGAGACUGCCAGUGAUAAACUGGAGGAAGGUGGGGAUGACGUCAAGUCAUCAUGGCCCUUACGACCAGGGCUACACACGUGCUACAAUGGCAUAUACAAAGAGAAGCGACCUCGCGAGAGCAAGCGGACCUCAUAAAGUAUGUCGUAGUCCGGAUUGGAGUCUGCAACUCGACUCCAUGAAGUCGGAAUCGCUAGUAAUCGUAGAUCAGAAUGCUACGGUGAAUACGUUCCCGGGCCUUGUACACACCGCCCGUCACACCAUGGGAGUGGGUUGCAAAAGAAGUAGGUAGCUUAACCUUCGGGAGGGCGCUUACCACUUUGUGAUUCAUGACUGGGGUGAAGUCGUAACAAGGUAACCGUAGGGGAACCUGCGGUUGGAUCACCU